rnacentral:rRNA from 1 species
UACGUAGGGUGCAAGCGUUGUCCGGAAUUAUUGGGCGUAAAGAGCUCGUAGGCGGUUUGUUGCGUCGGCUGUGAAAUCCCGAGGCUCAACCUCGGGUCUGCAGUCGAUACGAGCAAACUAGAGUGUUGCAGGGGAGACUGGAAUUCCUGGUGUAGCGGUGAAAUGCGUAGAUAUCGAGAGGAACACCAGUGGCGAAGGCGAGUCCCUGGACACUUCCUGACACUGGAGGCAACGGAAAGCUAGGGGAGCAAACAGG